AGGAGCAAGAAAGGUGAAGAAUGUGCUCAAACAGUUAAAAGGCUAUGGAUACUGAUUGAAGAGUUGUCAAUUCCAUAGAAAUAUCAGGGAGCUAAAAUCCUGCAGCUGGAUAUCACCGUACAAGAAAAUGUGAAUGGCUUGCCUUACCAUGCUUCAGGGCCAAGACAAACCCAGGGUUAGAAUUUGGGAGUUCUGCCAAGAUGAAAAAACCAGAUCAAAUUAACAACAGAAUUUUCAGACACUGAAAACAUUGAAAUUGUCUUGAAAUAGACUCCCACCUCUCUGUAAAUCAGAUGUACUCCACUUUCGGCCAGAGGCACUAGCUGGGACUUCUCCUGUUGCAGUGCUCUGAGAGAUGCCAUAUGACUGCUCAGGUUUGGCACUAUCAGGGAGCACUCUCACUCUUGAAGUAAAUGGCGUUGCAGCACCUGGUCUGUUAAUAGAACUACACAGAAUUAACACAUGAUAACCCCCUGGAGAGAUGAUUUGGCAUGACUGAUCAUGUGCCCCCAGCUUCUCAAAGGCAAUGCUCUGGGGAAUUUCUCCUGUCUACCCAAACAUAUUCAAGAGGACAGAACGUGUACUAGGCCAACAACAGCCAAAAAUAAGAGAAUUGAAAGAGGUUCUUAACAGCUUCCUGCUGGCAGCCUGACAAGCAAAUUCUCCAAUACCCCAACAGUCACAUGGCAAUUACAGCCUUCCCUGAGGAAAAUCCAAAGAUGCAGAAGCAUCUACAAUGCAGAGCAUUUAUCUUCACCUUAAGAAAAUAAAUUUUAAAAAAUGAAUCAAAUGGAGUCAAUUAGCAAAAGAAACCCUCCCUGAAAGAGCUCUUUCCAGUAUCCUCAGACAUUGUGCAUCCCAGCAUUUCUUCCUGGCAGUUUGAAGAGUGCUUUCUCCUGCUGCACUACACAGAUGAAUCAUUAGAGCAGUAGGGUUGUAAUAAUACUCCCUGAAAUGUAGAGAUGGUGUAAGGGUCCUAUUUAGGUAAUUUAUACAUCACAUAUCUAUACUCUGACUUCUUUCAACAAGUGUAUUAAUCACACUUGUUCUUGGAGAGGGGUGUGGUACUCCCAACAAACAUCCGUGGGAGCCCUACAAAUUUGGAAAUUGCCAUUUUAAUUCAUUUAAAGCUCAAAUCUUACCAAAAGUACUUGGAUAUAUAGUACAUAGCACUGCAGUACAUUAACAGAAGUUAAUGUUGAAAACAAUGUUUUAAAAAGUCUCUCAAAGAUGACUUUAAUUUCACAAAUAAUGUUUAGAUUUGUUUUAAUCAAUAGAAGACUGCUAUAUGAUGAUAAUAAUUUUUGCCUCCGUUGAUUCAUUUCCUGUCUUGUGUCAAGGUAUUCCUACCUCAGUUUCUCCACCCUUUAAAAAUUAGCAAAACGGCACGUUGUUGAGCUCAGCAAAAUUUCUCUGAGUGCCAGUAACUAAACCCAGCACAACUCUAUUCCAAGUAAUUUCUGCUUCUUGAUAAAGAACAUGAAGUUGAAGAGGAGCUGAAAUGAAAGCCAGCUUGCAACUGAAGUGGACUUCAGACAGUCCCAGAAGAGGGAAAGUCCAAAGGACUGAUCUGGGUACGCACGCCAGCAAAGGUUAAUCAGAUCGCUCGUUUUUGCCUCUGAGCACAUUCCGUAAGUUCAUGACCCGUGGGCUGCCCAGUUUCUCAUGCAGUAGCUCCAUCUGCUGUCCAAACGCAAAGGUGGACUUUGCACCGGGACUACAUUUACUGAAUAAAAAAGCAAAAUCACUUGAAUAUUUUGAAACAUUUUCUGGGAAAAUUCCAAACGUUUCCCUAGUCAGUCCUCCCGCAUGAAUGGAACCAGCCUUUAUCUACCUUUAUAAACCAACUAUCCACAACGAAAAUAUGAGAUUCUCAGAACCAGUCUUGUGACAUAAAACAAUAGUUCUUCACCACCUGCAGCCACUCAGUGCCAUGCUGUCCAAAGGUGCCACACUACCAGGUCACACUGGUGAGGCACCAGCACUCACUGCACCCCACAAUGAACAUGCCCAGGUGUCCACAAACUACAAGAUGUUUACAGUGAUUCUUAGUUACUUACAAGAGGUUUAUUUGAAUUGCACAAACAUAAAUUUAAGCUUAUUCUGAAGAUCAACUCAGCUCUUAGAAACAAGACUUCUGUUUGUUUUCUGCAGUACAGGGCUUUAAGCAGUCAAAUUUUUCAUAUUGCAUUCCUUUACCAGGAGCACUAUGAUGAGUUCUGGCCAUAAUAGAACAAUUGUGGCAAGACCCAGAGCUUGCAAAUUCAACUAGACCUGCUCUGAAUCUUGUACAGCUUAGUGAUUCUUGGUUUGUUUACAAAUGUUCUGGCUCAACAACAGUCUGUUAAGCUUGGGGGUUGUACUCCCAGUUUGGUAUUUGCUGUAACUGCUGAACCCUUCCAGCAACCUCCUUUUCUGGGCAGCAUUGCAGGAGCUAUUCAGUCAUCAGGCAGCUCGAGAGCUCUGGCUCACUGCUGGCCACAGGCACAGCAGCCGGCUGGCUCCCUGGGAAGCACAGGACACACUGCCCGAGUCACCUCGGUUAUUCAUCACACUCGAAUCCAUGGGGGAGGGCGGUGCCACCGAGCAUUUACGGACGUCUGGAGGAAGAGUUCCUCAAUACAAGGCCAAUUGUGGAUUACAAUUAUAUCCCUCGAGCACAAGGAUCAAUACUGGAAACGCCAGAGUGGGAUAACAACAAAUAUUUUAUAGUGAUCACUGAUGAAAUCGGUCUUCCGUAAGAAAUGAGGACCCAGCCCUGUGGCGAGCGCCGCACAGGAAGCCGUGUGUCCCACCCGGGCUGCGGGCAGCGCUCAGGCGGCACGCACGGGCUGCCGCGAGACUCGUUUGCGCAGCACCAUGUACGGCUAACCCUGUUCAUGCUGCUUAAGAAAAAUAAAAUUUAAAA